rnacentral:rRNA from 1 species
UGGGUGCAUGCAUGUCUAAGUAUAAGCAAUUAUACAGCGAAACUGCGAAUGGCUCAUUAAAUCAGUUAUCGUUUAUUUGAUAGUACCUUACUACUUGGAUAACCGUGGUAAUUCUAGAGCUAAUACAUGCUAAAAACCCCGACUCACGAAGGGGUGUAUUUAUUAGAUUAAAAACCAAUGCCCUUCGGGGCUCUUUGGUGAUUCAUAAUAACUUUUCGAAUCGCAUGGCCUUGCGCCGGCGAUGGUUCAUUCAAAUUUCUGCCCUAUCAACUUUCGAUGGCAGGGUCUUGGCCUGCCAUGGUUACAACGGGUAACGGAGGGUUAGGGCUCGACCCCGGAGAAGGAGCCUGAGAAACGGCUACUACAUCCAAGGAAGGCAGCAGGCGCGCAAAUUACCCAAUCCCGAUUCGGGGAGGUAGUGACAAUAAAUACUGAUACAGGGCUCUUUUGGGUCUUGUAAUUGGAAUGAGUACAAUUUAAAUCCCUUAACGAGGAACAAUUGGAGGGCAAGUCUGGUGCCAGCAGCCGCGGUAAUUCCAGCUCCAAUAGCGUAUAUUAAAGUUGUUGCAGUUAAAAAGCUCGUAGUUGAACCUUGGGCCUGGCUGGCCGGUCCGCCUCACCGCGUGCACUGGUUCGGCCGGGCCUUUCCCUCUGGGGAACCUCAUGGUCUUCACUGAUCGUGAUGGGGAACCAGGACUUUUACUGUGAAAAAAUUAGAGUGUUCAAAGCAGGCCUAUGCUCGAAUACAUUAGCAUGGAAUAAUAAAAUAGGACGUGUGGUUCUAUUUUGUUGGUUUCUAGGACCGCCGUAAUGAUUAAUAGGGACAGUCGGGGGCAUCAGUAUUCAAUUGUCAGAGGUGAAAUUCUUGGAUUUAUUGAAGACUAACUACUGCGAAAGCAUUUGCCAAGGAUGUUUUCAUUAAUCAGGAACGAAAGUUAGGGGAUCGAAGACGAUCAGAUACCGUCGUAGUCUUAACCAUAAACUAUGCCGACUAGGGAUCGGACGGUGUUACUUAUUGACCCGUUCGGCACCUUACGAGAAAUCAAAGUCUUUGGGUCUGGGGGAGUAUGGUCGC